rnacentral:rRNA from 1 species
GACGAACGCUGGCGGCGUGCUUAACACAUGCAAGUCGAACGGAGUGGCGAACGGGUGAGUAACACGUGGGUGAUCUGCCUUGCACUACGGGAUAAGCUUGGGAAACCGGGUCUAAUACCGGAUUUUGCAGGAGGUGCUCGCGGCCUAUCAGCUUGUUGGUGGGGUAAUGGCCUACCAAGGCGUCGACGGGGAGCCGGCCUGUGAGGGUGUACGGCCACAUUGGGACUGGGAUACGGCCCAGACGCCUACGGGAGGAAGCGGUGGGGAAGAGUGCACAAUGGGCGGAGGCCUGAGGCAGGGCCGCCGCGUGGGGGAUGAAGGCCUGCGGGGUGGAAACUCCUUACGACAGGGACGCGGUACCUGUAUAAGAAUCACCGGCUAACUCCGUGCCAGCAGCCGCGGUAAUA